rnacentral:rRNA from 1 species
AUUGAACGCUGGCGGCAGGCCUAACACAUGCAAGUCGAGCGGAUGAAGUGAGCUUGCUCCUGGAUUCAGAGGCGGACGGGUACGUAAUGGCUAGGAAUCUGCAUGGUAGUGGGGGAUAACGUCCGGAAACGGGCACUAAUACCUCAUACGUCCUGAGGGAGUAUGUGGGGGAUCUUCGGACCUAACGCUAUCAGUUCAGCCUCGGUCGGAUUAGCUAGUUGGUGGGGUAAAGGCCUACCAAGGCGACGAUCCGUAACUGGUCUGAGAGGAUGAUCAGUCACACUGGAACUGAGACACGGUCCAGACUCCUACGGGAGGCAGCAGUGGGGAAUAUUGCACAAUGGGCGAAAGCCUGAUCGAGCCAUGCCGCGUGAGUGAAGAAGGACUUCGGAUUGUAAAGCACUUUUAGUUGGGAGGAAGGGCAAUAAGGUAAUACCUCACUUAUGAGACGGUACCAACAGAAAAAGCAACGGCUAACUUCGUG